AAGGCAUCGGUGAAAAUAAAUUUGAAAACGAAAGCCACGUCAAAGUGCAGAGGAAGAAGAAGAAUGAUAACAGUGACGCGACAAUACUCCAUUCGUCCUCUUCCUCUUUUACUUCUUCUUUUACUUCUUCUUUUACUUCUUCUUUU
rnacentral:ribozyme from 1 species